rnacentral:tRNA from 1 species
UAGGCGUUAGUCUAAUUUAAGAUGCUUGAUUUCGGCUCACGAGACAGUGGUUAAAACCCACUACCCCUAU